GUCUCGCUGGCCGAGUUGGAUUAGGCAUCGUAGUUCUAUUGCGACUUAUAUGAGUUCGAAUCUCAUGCGGGGCU
rnacentral:tRNA from 1 species